rnacentral:misc_RNA from 2 species
AGCAGCCGCGGUAAUUCCAGCUCCAAUAGCGUAUAUUAAAGUUGUUGCAGUUAAAAAGCUCGUAGUUGAAUUUCGGGGUUAGUAGGUUGGUCAUGCCUCUGGUAUGUACUGGUCUCACUGAUUCCUCCUUCCUGAUGAACCUUAAUGCCAUUAAUUUGGUGUUUUGGGGAAUUUGGACUGUUACUUUGAAAAAAUUAGAGUGUUUAAAGCAGGCAUUUUUGCUUGAAUACAUUAGCAUGGAAUAAUAAAAUAGGACGGCAUGGUUCUAUUUUGUUGGUUUCUAGGACCACCGUAAUGAUUAAUAGGGAUAGUUGGGGGGCAUUAGUAUUCAAUUGUCAGAGGUGAAAUUCUUGGAUUUAUUGAAGACUAACUACUGCGAAAGCAUUUGCCAAGGAUGUUUUUCAUUAAUCAAGAACGAAAGUUAGGGGAUCGAAGACGAUCAGAUACCGUCGUAGUCUUAACCAUAAACUAUGCCGACUAGGAAUCAGACGAUGUUAAUUUUUUUCAAUGACUCGUUUGG